GUUAGGGUGGCAGAUCCCGGCUAACGCAAAAGACCUAAGCCCUUUUAAAAAAGGUUCAAAUCCUUUCCCUAACU
ensembl:Mt_tRNA